GGAAGUGUAGCUCGGUGGUAGAGUGUAUGCUUAGCAUGUGUGAGGGUCUGUGUUCAAUCCCCAGCACCCCCA
rnacentral:tRNA from 1 species